rnacentral:lncRNA from 1 species
AGCACAAAAAUAUUAGCCAGAAUGUUUAUUUAGGAAUAAGAAUGGAGCAGGUUCUGGCUUGGAAUUUCUAAAUCUGUUCUUCUUAGUGUCAGGCUAAGGGGCAUCAAACUUUUCUGCCUUUCAUUUAUAGGCACCAUUAUGGAUAAUAUAUUUGUAUAUAUGCUAAUCAUUUAUCUUAAAGGAUUGAUUAGACUUUUUUCUUUAACUAAAUCUUCCAUCAUUUCAUGUCCUAAGUAUGAUACCUAUCUGUCCAGUGAGGUGGGCCACACCUGGUUAGAUGUCAGUGUGGUUGAAGCACAGAGAGCCCAUGAACUUUGACAGAAAAAUACUGCAUGAAGGGACCAUCUGUCUUUUCUAGCAUGAUACAGAUAUGUUUUUACUUUGGAGAGGUUUAGCUACUCUUUCAAGAAAAAAAUAGUACACAGGUUUUUUUUUGGGGGGGAUCAGGUGUGUGUAAAAAAAGGUUACACAAUUUUUUUCAUGGAUGUUCUCCCUCCAGAGGAACAUGUCCAAUACCACUACAGUGAUAGACAUCAUAAAAGUGUGCCUAAAAGGGCUAAGUUUUUAUUAUGAAGUAUGUUGUGAGGGACAAAGCCAGGGAAAAACAUUCUGUGCUACUCAUUAACCUACACAUAAUUAGUCAACCUGGAGUUACUUCUAACAGAAGUUGUUGGACCACUUGGGAGUCAUAGUGUGCUGUGGCAUGCCAUCUGUUAGGUGCUUUGUCAGAGCCAUGGACCCCAAUGAGACCGUGAGGGAAGGGUCAUCCAGAGACAUACUGAUAUUUGUAGAUGGAAUGUUAGCUCUACUUAGGUUUAAGCUAGUCCUCUCCUAAUGGAUCAGAUCCAAGCUGCAGUUGACACCUAUGCCACAGCUAUGGCCACACUGGAUUCUUUAACCCACUGUGCUGGGCUGGGGAUCAAACCCGCAUCCUGGCGCUGUGGAGGCGCCUCCAAUCCUAUUGCAUCACAGCGGGAACUCCUCCCAAGGAUAUUUGCCACACAGGAUCCCGAGGGCCAGGGCAGUUCAGAAUCAGCAACAAUUUAUGGAUCCUUGUUUUAAAGAGGAGAUUUCUUGGUGGGGACUGUUACAAGGAUUUAGAAACAUUAAGCUUUACAUUGUGUGUUGCAUUCUAGUUGGUAGAGAUAAUAAGAUGCUUUCAUUCUUCAUUACCCGGUAAGCACUGGGGGUUCUCCAAUGGAAGAAUGUGCUAGUUGGGAGAAUGCCAAUGGGAAUCUACUUUCAUUUUGGAUUCCAUCCCUUGAGCUUCCACAAUAUGACAGUGACAAUCAUCACUUCAACUCUGUACCUUGAUUUUAAUACAUUUUAAAUAUUUUACUAAAUAUUACGUAUUAAAUAAGCAAUAUUUAAAUGCUUAUUUAAAUAUUUAUAUUAAAUAUAAAUAAGCAUUUAAAUAAAUAGUUAAGUGUAUGUUGCUCCUGCAACAUCAUUCAUUUAUUCAAGAGAUAGUUACUGAGCACCUUUUUUAUAGUAGACAGUAUUCUAGACACAGGAGAUCCAGCGGUGUAUGAGACGAAGUCACUGCUCACAUGGAAGGUGCAUCCUAAGGAUUUUUCAAUAGGAUGUCAAUAUAGAACAAAGCUUCAGAUAUAUUAGGAGAGGAAUCCCUGAGAACUGUUUGACUAGUCUAUCUAGUCCACUACUUCAUCUGAUAAUGGCAUCUACAACACAAAUAUCCUGGCAUACUCAAAGUUCUGAAUGUACCCCUUUACCCUAAUCCUAUUUUUUUUUUCUUUUUAUGGCUGAACUUGCAGCAUAUGGAAGUUCCAGGGCUGGGGUUUGAAUCUGAGCCACAUCUGUGACCUAUGCUGUAGCUUGCAGCAACACCCGAUCCUUAACUCACUGAGUGAGGCCAGGGAUCAAAUGCACAUCCUCAGGGAGACAACAUUAGGUCCUUAACCUGCUGAGCCACAUCAGGAACUCCCCCUAAUCAUAAUUUUAAAGUAAUUCCCUGAACUUGCUUUGCUUCUUUUGAUCUUCUUCCAUUUUUAGUCUAUAAGAUCAUUCAGGCAAAUGAGUUAUCCAUAGAUUAACUAAUGACUAUUUACAUGCACCUUUCUUAAUUUUUCUGGGCCUAGCUAUCUCCUAAAUUUAACAUGCUUAAAUGAAAAAUUUUUUCUCUUUUCUCAGAGUCAAUAUCAUUGUCAGUAGUAACCAUGUUUUCAUAACAAUCUUUUUUGUUGUUAACAGUUGCUGGUUGUUCCUACAGUUUCUACCUCAUUCACUCUAUGAAUUCCUGGCCUAAGUGGCUAAAUUACGCAUUUCGACCCUGCACUAAUACUCAUGGUAUUCUGUAGGGUCUUUUCACAUCAAUGUCCCACUUCUCAAUGAAAUGAAACACUUCUGGAGGCCACACACCAGAUUCGGUGCUGCUUUCUUUCUCAGAUUCUGACAUUGUAUCUAGCACCUCAGAGAACUGAUACUUAUUGCUUAUCAAUGAAUGCAGUCACUAUUAGAUCUGUUUUCACCACAUCAUUCCCUUUCUGAGCUCACAGAGUUAUCUGGGUUUUCUAUAAUGUCUACUUUUCCAUGAUGAAGAGGUAUGUAAAAUUAGAUUGUCUCGGAUGUUCACCUGAAUCAUAGCCCUGCUGCUUCCCAGCCCCUAAGUCAUAUUAGCCGGGGCCUGGUCUCUGGGAUUCCAGGUCAGCCUCAAGAACUAUGACAAUCCUUGGAUGAAUGUACGUCUGACUACUGUUUUCUUUGGCCAAAGCAAUUUACUCUCUCUGCCAGGAGCUGAGAUGUGUGGACUCAUACCCCUUGGCCAUUCUGGUGGGGCAGCUCAGCUCCAAGCCAUCUGGGGCCUUUUUCUGCUUGGCAGAUAGUUGGUGAGGCAGCAGCUGCCAUGACUUCCUAAAAACCCAGGAGCAAGAGCCUAGCCAAUAAACCUCUGUCUCGGGGUGCAAUGUUAUUGAAAAGAGCAGACCCACAAUAAACUGGCUCUACCCUUUUAUUAAACUCUUCCUUCAGCCAGCAAGUGCUGUCCUUCCUGGUCUGAACCAGUCCCAGGCAAUUUGUUUAAAUUCAGAUUCAUACCUCCUUAAGACAUUGGAAAGUUGGUGAUGUGUUUUGGUGCUUUUAGGUGAGAGUGUAAACAAGACAUCAAUGACAUUCUUAGGAGGAGUAAUAAGGCUGACUAUUUGGGUGAUAAACCUGCUGAUAUUACUGGGUGUAUGAAAUGAAGAAAUGAAACCAUAAGGAGAUUCAAUUACAGCUACUUUCAGACAACAUUCUAGUACCAGGCAGCAUGCAGGUGUUUUUCAGUCUUUCCCUGUCAUAAGUAAUAUAAUCAGUGGACAAACUGACUCUUGGAAUAUAAAAGGGAUACUCUUUAUGAACAGCCUAAGCUGGAUUAAUGCCACUUUAUGAGGUGUACGUCAACCUUCUGCAAAAAUAAAAAUAAACUUUAUUUUUGUCUCACACGCACAGAACAAUUUAAUGUUAAAUGAAUGUAAAAAUGAAAAGUGCCUUGCUCCAAGUAAAGUAUGCUGCCUACCACGGCUGUGUAAACACAACUCAAUUGCUAUGAGAAUUAAAGAUGGAUCAACAAAAUCAAUAGUUAAUUGUGUAACUCAGGGUCUUUCAUUUUCAGAUCUAAUCUGUAAAGAAGGUCCAGGGGAUGUUUGCUUUUGAUUUUCCUAAAAUAUUAUUUAAAACCUUUCUGGCAGGCAAAGGAGUUCACCGGGUCUUUACAUCAUUUCCAUAAGUUAUUUGGCUGCUGAGUGGUCAAGGUCAUAUUGAUCACUCAGCCUCACCAGUUUUCAUUUUAAAAUUCAGUAGCUUUAUCAGUCAAGCUGCCUUACUUCUGGUAUCUGGGCUGCGCUGAUGCCAAACACACUUUCUUUCAAAAAUAACCCAACAUAAUAGGUGUCUUGGUACUAGACAUGGGUGCAUUAGUUGUAUAUUGGUCUAUUUCACAAUCCUAUCCAUAGCAGUUAAAUAGCUACAUAACCACCCCAUCCCCCAUGAGCAUCCCCCAUUGUGCUGUGGAGAUGCACAAUUUUGUGCAAUAUGGCAAACUAUGGAAGGUUGAGUUGAGCUGUAUGAACAAAUAUGCUAUCUGUUCCAACAUUCCACAAGGGGCCAGGGGAGGGGUUGGUGCUUGAAUAGAACCUAAAAAAAUUCUCCCAAUCUCAUUAGCCCAAAUGGAUGAGAGCGGAAGGAGGGUAGGCAGGCCUCCUUUGCAAAGGCAAUAAUAGCACAAUAACAUCCAGAAGACCACGGGGGUAACAGAUAGAUUGCCUUGACCCCAGUUAUAUUACAGAAGAGCUAAAAAUGUAAUGUUUGAACUUCUUUUCCCUUUAAAAUAUAACCUUUCAUAUAAUGAGUUAAGCCUCACUCUCUCUUACAUAUUGUUGAGACAUCCAUUUUGGGGGCUGAAGGCAAAAUCAUUCUUGAAAUAAUGAAUCAUUUUUCUUUUGCCAGCUUGUCCAGAAAUCCCAUGAUUAUUUUACUGUUGCAGACAAUGACCUUCUCAAAGAAGGCCUAUCAAACACUCCAAAUAAAUAAUGAGAGGGUCUCCUUCUCUGGCCUCAAGAAAAAAAUUGCGGAAAGGGAAAAUGUGUGUGAUAACAUCAAUAUGUUCAUCCUAGGAUGGGAAGCAGCACGUUUUGAGUGAAAAGCAGCUGCACAUGUGUUUAUGUGUGACUGGUGGCCUCAUUUAACAGGACUUCUGGGGCUGUGUCCUUGGAGGGACCUUGGCAGAGAAACACCCAAGCUUUUCACCCAGUAACAUUGGAAACACAUGAUUGGCUGAUGAUAGGCAGAGCAAGUUUUAAACCUUUUGACUUGUGAACAAGUUAACUAAAGUCUCUGGUUAAUAACAGUGCCUUCCAACAAUCUAGGAAACCAUGGUUCUGACUUCUUAGGUCCAGGAGCUAAGAUUAAUCAUAGAAAAUUCUGCUCUCCCUCCCACCUCCUGCCUUCCCACCGGGCACAGAUCUUCAGGGGGUGAAAGGAACCAUUCCUUUUGUUUUGCCUAUGAAGCAAGGUUUUAGAAA